rnacentral:lncRNA from 1 species
CCCUCCAUGGUGUCAACCACCGCCUUGCACGACCCCGUGGUGAUCACCAUCCCCUUGCACAACCCUCUGGUGGUGCUCACUGUCCCCUUGCACGACCCCAUGGUGCCCACCACGGCCUUGCACAACCCUCACAGCCAUCACUAUCACCUUGCACGACCCCGUGGUGAACACUACCCCCUCGCACGACCCCCUCCGUCGUGCCCACCGUGGCCUUGCACAACCCUCUCCCCCGCAAUGGGUCUCACCACAGCCUUGCACGACCCCGUGGUGCUCACCAUCUCCUUGCAUGACCCACGGUCUCGCACAAGCCCACGGCCUUGCACAACCCUCUGGUGCUCACCAUGGCCUUACACGACCCCGUGAUGUUCACCAUCACCUUGCACAACCCCCCCCGGCGCUCACCAUCCCCGUGGUGGCCUCACACACCCUCGUGGCGCUCACCAUUCACGACCUGCCGGUGCUCGCCCUGGCCUUGCACGCCCCCAGAGUGCUCACCACGGCCUUGCACGACUCCGCGGCGCUCACCACGACCUCGCCCCACCCCCGUGGUGCUCACCAUCCCCUUGCACAACCCCGUGGUGAACACUACCCCCUCACACGACCCCCUCCGUUGUGCCCACCGUGCUCUUGCACGACCCUCCCCCCACCAUGGGUCUCACCACGGCCUUGCACGACCCCCAUGGUGCUCACUAUUCCCUUGCACAACCCCGUGGUCUUGCACGACCCCAUGGUGCCCACCACGGCCUUGCACAACCCCCACGGCCAUCACUAUCACCUUGCACGACCCCGUGGUGCUCACCAUCCCCUUGCACAACCCCGUGGUGAACACUACCCCCUCGCACGACCCCCUCCGUCGUGCCCACCGUGGCCUUGCACAACCCUCUCCCCCGCAAUGGGUCUCACCACAGCCUUGCACGACCCCGUGGUGCUCACCAUCUCCUUGCAUGACCCACGGUCUCGCACAAGCCCACGGCCUUGCACAACCCUCUGGUGCUCACCAUGGCCUUACACGACCCCGUGAUGUUCACCAUCACCUUGCACAACCCCCCCCGGCGCUCACCAUCCCCGUGGUGGCCUCACACACCCUCGUGGCGCUCACCAUUCACGACCUGCCGGUGCUCGCCCUGGCCUUGCACGCCCCCAGAGUGCUCACCACGGCCUUGCACGACUCCGCGGCGCUCACCACGACCUCGCCCCACCCCCGUGGUGCUCACCAUCCCCUUGCACAACCCCGUGGUGAACACUACCCCCUCACACGACCCCCUCCGUUGUGCCCACCGUGGCCUUGCACGACCCUCCCCCCACCAUGGGUCUCACCACGGCCUUGCACGACCCCCGUGGUGCUCACUAUCCCCUUGCACGCCCCACCACGGGCCUUGCACGCCCCUUGCACCCCAGUGCCUGCCCCNNNNNNNNNNNNNNNNNNNNNNNNNNNNNNNNNNNNNNN